rnacentral:rRNA from 1 species
AUGCCGGCCUUCGUCGCUCCACCAAUGGACUGGGCUCCCGCCGAGGCUGCAGCCCCGUUCCUGGGCGAGGAGGAGUUCUUCGACGCCGCUCAGGCCCCGCCACCGCCAGGGAUCUUUUUCGGUAACGGCAUGGAUGCAGGCGUGGCCUUCUGUCCGGUGCACGGAUACGGACCUUGCCCUGCCCGCGAUUUCUGCCCCGUGCACGGGUACGGGCCGUGCCCUCCAUCGCCGGCCACUCCACCACCGGAACCGGAGGUCAUCAACGAGCCACUCGCCUACCCGGACCUCCCAACGCCGACGCCCGCCGACGAAGACGAGGAGCACUUCGCCCCUCCAGGCUAUGGCCCUGUGCCCGCCAUGAUGGAGUGGGAGGUGACGCCAAACGAAGAGGAGGAGCAGUGGCUCAACUCCGUUGUGAAGCAGGAGCCAACCACGCCGGCGGAGACCGACGAACACGGCGCCACCAUCCCCGACCUCAACACUGCCACCGGCGUGAAGAUCGAGGACGCGGCGUCGUCUUCCACGGCCCAAGCAUCUCCACCGCCUCCACCCCCGGCAAGCCCGCGAACGCCUCCACCGGCAGCUCGCCGGAUCCUUCGCCGUUUCGCGGCAGCGCUGGAGCAGCACCGCCCCGGCCUCCGCUCCGGCUCCUGGGCCCCUGCAGGCCUCCACCUCCCCGGCUAUGCUGCGGGGGGGCCGUCCUCCUCCAGAAGAUCGUCGGCGCUGGGCGCCAUCGGCGGCGGCCGGCGGGAUCCCGUGGGGGUGGCGGUUGGAAUGGGGGGAAUUUACCCCAACCGCCCCACCUCCAAGUUCCCCUUAUCCGCUCCUUCGGCGGCGCCGCCAUGGGCCUGGGCCGAAAGGCCUCAUGGGCUGUGGCCCACGUUGCAAAAACCAGCAAGAAAAAAAAACAGCGGGUGA